rnacentral:rRNA from 1 species
AGUUUGGUGUCUAUAGCCAGGGGGUGACACCUGUUACCAUCCCGAACACAGUAGUUAAGACCCUGAACGCCUAUGGUACUGCCGGGGUUACUCGGUGGGAGAGUCGGUCGAUGCCAAA